rnacentral:lncRNA from 1 species
CUUAACAAUAUUUCUCAAGAAUAAAAGAGUAAUUGAAUAUAUGUUGUGUAAAAUAUUCUAAAGAACAAUGAUAAUUGUACACCUCAUUUUGGGGUGUAAAUCUUACAUCCCUUCAAUCCAAUGAUAGAAAUACUUUUUUGUCUUGUCAACUUAUUUUUUAUAUAAAAUAUUAAAAAUAAAAAAUGUGCGUGAAUCCUAGGAUAAAGUUGUAAGAUGUACACCCCCAUAAUAGGAGUAUAUAUAUCU